rnacentral:tRNA from 1 species
AAGGCCUUAAGUUAAGUAAUAAACUAAUAACCUUCAAAGCUAUAAAUAAAGGACUUCCUUUAGGCCUUG